GACGAACGCUGGCGGCGUGCUUAACACAUGCAAGUCGAACGAAGUGGCGAACGGGUGAGUAACGCGUAAGCAACCUGCCCUUCGGAGGGGGACAACAGUGGGAAACGACUGCUAAUACCGAAUACUGAAGGGGGGGAUUGCGGGUGAUUAGCUAGUUGGAGGGGUAACGGCCCACCAAGGCGAUGAUCAGUAGCCGGUCUGAGAGGAUGACCGGCCACAUUGGAACUGAGACACGGCCCAGACUCCUACGGGAGGCAGCAGUGGGGAAUCUUCGGCAAUGGACGAAAGUCUGACCGAGCAACGCCGCGUGAGUGAAGAAGGUUUUCGGAUCGUAAAACUCUGUUGUCAGGGAAGCGGUAUCUAACCAGAAAGCCACGGCUAACUACGUGCCAGCAGCCGCGGUAAUAC
rnacentral:rRNA from 1 species